GCAGACACAUUCCAGCCAUUCAGCAGCAGACCCUCCCUCCCAGACCCUCCCACCUCCUGGACAGCAUCCAUUUUGAAGCUGCAUUGUUAGUGAGCUGUCCAGGAGGUGGGAGGGUCUGGGAGGGAGGGUCUGCUGCUGAUUGGCUGGAAUGUGUCUG